rnacentral:rRNA from 1 species
UGGGGAAUAUUGGACAAUGGGGGCAACCCUGAUCCAGCAAUGCCGCGUGAGUGAUGAAGGCCUUCGGGUUGUAAAGCUCUUUCGCCCACGACGAUGAUGACGGUAGUGGGAGAAGAAGCCCCGGCUAACUUCGUGCCAGCAGCCGCGGUAAUACGAAGGGGGCUAGCGUUGUUCGGAAUGACUGGGCGUAAAGGGCGCGUAGGCGGCGCAUCAAGUCGGGCGUGAAAGCCCCGGGCUCAACCUGGGAACUGCGUUCGAGACUGAUGUGCUGGAGUUCGGGAGAGGAGAGUGGAAUUCCCAGUGUAGAGGUGAAAUUCGUAGAUAUUGGGAAGAACACCGAUGGCGAAGGCAGCUCUCUGGACCGAUACUGACGCUGAGGCGCGAAAGCGUGGGGAGCAAACAGG